ensembl:lincRNA
AUGCAGGGAAAGGAAAAAAACCUGCCUUUUGAGAAUUCUGUAGCUAGUGAAAACAACAACAACAACAACAACAACUCAAAAAUGAAGGCAAAACAAAGCAUUGUUAAUCGAGAGUUGAACAUGUUCAUUGCACUGACAGUGCUGUCUUCUCUGUGUCCCUUGCCACAGACCUACGUUACCUUGUGGGAGGAGCCUUGGGCUUCUUCCUGCUGGCACUGUCUGGGAGCGUUGCUUCUCUGCCCCCGUGGCCGCCUUGCUCAUCACAUCUCAGUGCCCAUGGUGUUUCUUCUAGAGCCUCUUGCUUCUCCUCAGACCAGCAGAGCUGUCCUGACCUCAUUUGAGAAAGGUUUGUAGCAAAAUAAAGAGUUAAUGUAAGCUGGAUCCUAUAAUGUUUCAUUUUCCAACAACCCUAAACAUUUGAGUGUAAAAAGAAAUCUAGGGAAAACAGAUCCUUUGCAGAUGGGAAGGAGACCAAGGGAUGGAGAGAGUGGGAAGAGAGGGGAGAGAGAGGGGAUGGAAAAAGAAUGGAGGUUUGUUAUAUACGUGUAUAUCCUUUGAGGACUGUGAACAUUACAUAUUGCAAACGCACUAAUAAAAGUAAAAAUGGAAAAAGACAAACCAGAAAAUUCUGUUCUGAGAGGUCUUUAUUAGCUAGGUUUUCCUGUAUACCAUAAUUAGUUACCACAGAUAUUUUUUUAAAAAAUGCUUUUUAUUUAUUCAUACAUUUAUUUUAAAUGGAAAAGGAGGCUUAGAAAAAUAGUACAGAGCUGUGCUUCUUUUUUAAUCUUUGCUGUUGUUAGUUUUGGAAACACAACCUUAGAAAUUGCAUGCCUUGAGCCACCAGGAAUGGCCGGCACAGGAUGGUCAUUGGCAUAGAGUAGUCAGCUUAGAACAUCGAAGUAACAGUUAAUGAGUGUAAUGGUCUUUCCUGUGGUUGGAUGCAAGCAGGGUAGGUUAACCAGGAAACAGUGUGUUUUGGGGAGGAUUUUGUUCUUCACUGGCCACAUUACAGAUAUUUGUGUUUGGCAGAUCUAGAUGGAAUGGACACUGUCAUGAAAACUCACCGUGAACAGGGCUGGGGAUUUAGCUCAGUGGUUCCACCACCUGCUUCGCAAGCGCAUGGUCCCAAGUUCAAUGCCCGGUACCAAACAAACACAAAACUCACCAUGAACCUUUAAACUGCUGGUAAUUCUUUGAGGCUUGCCAUACUAUGCCUUAACGCCACCAUAUUUCCCCUAGAGAAAGAAAGUUUAGAUGAGGAGUUGGUUGGCACAUGCUUCUUGAAUUGUUGGCUAUUUUGGUGUCAACUUUUUUUUGUUGUGAGUUUCAUGUUUUAGUGACAAAAAUGUUUACCGCAAAUUAUAGCUUGGGAAAGAGAGCCACUUUCCUGCUUCAGCAAAAAGCUAGGUAAAGCACUGAUGUGGGGUAAAGUAGCUGAGGAGUUUUAUAUUCAGAUUGUAUGAAUAGUAAACAGAGCGUCCAAAAUAACCACUUGCACAUUGCAACAAACACAUCAUCAUUUGCUUAAAAAAGAGUUAUAAUUACAGUUGACGAAGCAUGGACACCAUAAAAAAUGCAUUAGUUUGGCUUGACACAUUAAUUACCUGUUUUUGCAGAUGUUUUUAUGUAUUGUUGUGCGAACAGUUUACAAAAUAAUUACAGGAAAGUCAUAUGGAAAAUAAACUAAGUGGGUGGUUUCUCGGCUAAAUAUUUUUAUUCAUGUGAAUCUGUGUGAGGCACAGCUGCUCUGUAGAAAAGCGGAG